rnacentral:rRNA from 1 species
AGGAUAGGUGGGAGGCUUUGAAGUGUGGACGCCAGUCUGCAUGGAGCCAUCCUUGAAAUACCACCCUUUAAUGGCUGGUGUUCUAACGUGGGCCCGUUAUCCGGGUUGCGGACAGUGUCUGGUGGGUAGUUUGACUGGGGCGGUCUCCUCCUAAAGAGUAACGGAGGAGCACGAAGGUCAGCUAAUCCUGGUCGGACAUCAGGAGGUUAGUGCAAUGGCAUAAGCUGGCUUGACUGCGAGCGUGACGGCGCGAGCAGGUGCGAAAG